CCCUUAGAGUUUGAUCCUGGCUCAGGAUGAACGCUAGCUACAGGCUUAACACAUGCAAGUCGAGGGGAAACGACAUUGGAAGCUUGCUUCCGGUGGGCGUCGACCGGCGCACGGGUGAGUAACGCGUAUCCAACCUGCCCACCACUUGGGAAUAACCUUGCGAAAGUAAGACUAAUGCCCAAUGACAUUGAGUGCAGACAUCUAAUCUCAAUUAAAGAUUCAUCGGUGAUGGAUGGGGAUGCGUCCGAUUAGCUUGUUGGCGGGGUAACGGCCCACCAAGGCGACGAUCGGUAGGGGUUCUGAGAGGAAGGUCCCCCACAUUGGAACUGAGACACGGUCCAAACUCCUACGGGAGGCAGCAGUGAGGAAUAUUGGUCAAUGGGCGAGAGCCUGAACCAGCCAAGUAGCGUGCAGGAUGACGGCCCUAUGGGUUGUAAACUGCUUUUAUAAGGGAAUAAAGUGAGCCUCGUGAGGCUUUUUGCAUGUACCUUAUGAAUAAGGACCGGCUAAUUCCGUGCCAGCAGCCGCGGUAAUACGGAAGGUCCGGGCGUUAUCCGGAUUUAUUGGGUUUAAAGGGAGCGUAGGCCGGAGAUUAAGCGUGUUGUGAAAUGUAGACGCUCAACGUCUGCACUGCAGCGCGAACUGGUUUCCUUGAGUACGCACAAAGUGGGCGGAAUUCGUGGUGUAGCGGUGAAAUGCUUAGAUAUCACGAAGAACUCCGAUUGCGAAGGCAGCUCACUGGAGCGCAACUGACGCUGAAGCUCGAAAGUGCGGGUAUCGAACAGGAUUAGAUACCCUGGUAGUCCGCACGGUAAACGAUGGAUGCCCGCUGUUGGUCUGAAUAGGUCAGCGGCCAAGCGAAAGCAUUAAGCAUCCCACCUGGGGAGUACGCCGGCAACGGUGAAACU
rnacentral:rRNA from 1 species